AAGGAAGCAAGUUCCAGCCAAGAAAGUAUCCUCCAUGUGGCAUAUGUAAGAAAACCAACCAUGAAGAAAAAGAUUGUUGGCACAAGGGAAAGCCACAAUGCUUCAAAUGUAAAAGGUUUGGGUUUGAGCAAAAGGCUUAUAGAUUCAAGGAAGAGAACACAUCAAACACAUCAAAUGUCGCACAUGAAAAAGAAGAAGAAGAAUUUAUUGUUUCACUAGUGAGAAGUGCACUAGAAAAACUGAAAAAUGGUGAGAAGUGCACCAG
rnacentral:misc_RNA from 1 species